CCCCGGGUAGGAAGGGGCCCCCGAUUGAUUUGGUUUCCCUAUAUACGCGUGAUUGUUUAGCGGUCGAUUGAUUCUCCAAAAGGAAACAAAUAUUAAUUGAUGGAUUAGCACGCCGUGCAGUCUUCUCCGCUUAAUACUCUUUCUACCCAAUUGGCAACAAAUCAGCCAUGCCAUGAAUGACGGCGCCCCGCCCACUCGUCUAAUUGUAAUUUUUGGAUGCUAGGCGCCAUUAGUGGAAGAAGAAAACAGAAACUUGGACUUUCGUUCGUGACGCAGCAGCAAAAUCUUGUGAUUUCGAUUUUUCUAGCCAUCCAGAUUAUCUUGGCAAUCAAGCCAACAAAUCAAAAGGAGACAAAGGAAAAUGUGUGACCAAAGGAGUCAAGCAAAAGCACACCAAGCAAAUCACCACCAUUGAAGUUUCAGCAUCUGUUUUUCGUAGUUGGACUAAACCUGAUUAGAAGGAGAUGGUGCCCAGCGAUGGGGGUGCUUGGCCGCUGCCACCGCCUAGGAUGACCUCUUCGUCGGUGCUAUCGGGAGCCUAGAUUAUCUUGGAAAUCAAGCCAACAAAUCAAAAGGAGACAAAGGAAAAUGUGUGACCAAAGGAGUCAAGCAAAAGCACACCAAGCAAAUCACCACCAUUGAAGUUUCAGCAUCUGUUUUUCGUAGUUGGACUAAACCCGAUUAGAAGGAGAUGGUGCCCAGCGAUGGGGGUGCUUGGACGCUGCCACCGCCUAGGAUGACCUCUUCGUCGGUGCUAUCGGGAGCCUAGGCUACGUGUCCGACGAGAACUCUGCG